GACGAACGCUGGCGGCGUGCCUAAUACAUGCAAGUAGAACGCUGAAGGAGGAGCUUGCUUCUCUGGAUGAGUUGCGAACGGGUGAGUAACGCGUAGGUAACCUGCCUGGUAGCGGGGGAUAACUAUUGGAAACGAUAGCUAAUACCGCAUAAGAGUAGAUGUUGCAUGACAUUUGCUUAAAAGGUGCAAUUGCAUCACUACCAGAUGGACCUGCGUUGUAUUAGCUAGUUGGUGGGGUAACGGCUUACCAAGGCGACGAUACAUAGCCGACCUGAGAGGGUGAUCGGCCACACUGGGACUGAGACACGGCCCAGACUCCUACGGGAGGCAGUAGUAGGGAAUCUUCGGCAAUGGACGGAAGUCUGACCGAGCAACGCCGCGUGAGUGAAGAAGGUUUUCGGAUCGUAAAGCUCUGUUGUAAGAGAAGAACGAGUGUGAGAGUGGGAAGUUCACACUGUGACGGUAUCUUACCAGAAAGGGACGGCUAACUACGUG
rnacentral:rRNA from 1 species